rnacentral:rRNA from 1 species
ACGGAGGGGGCAAGCGUUGUCCGGAAUUACUGGGCGUAAAGGGUUCGUAGGCGGUAUGUUAAGUCUGGUGUUAAAGCCCCAGGCUUAACUUGGGAUCGGCAUUUGAAACUGGAAAACUUGAGUAUUGGAGAGGUAAAUGGAAUUCCUGGUGUAGCGGUGAAAUGCGUAGAUAUUAGGAGGAACACCGGUGGCGAAGGCGGCUUACUGGGCAAUUACUGACGCUGAGGAGCGAAAGCGUGGGGAGCAAACAG